GCUCUCCCCACUUCAACCUCUUUCCAGCCGCCUGGGUCAGGGGCAUUCCCAUCUGCGGCCUCCCCGGCCUUCCCUGCUCCUAGAGAUCGGGCAGGGGAUUUUGUCCCACGGUGACUUUCAAGGGAAGAAAAAAACAGAUUUGGAAUGAAGUCUCCAGGACUCGCUGCAGUUCUGAGGGAUUAUUUCCCUCCUCCUUAAUUACUUCUAAGCCAUAUGCCUUCCGCCCCUCCCGGGCCCGUUUGAUGGUAACAGGAGGUGAAUGGCCACAAAGGCAAUGGACCUCGACUCUCACACCACGAGCGGACGUCCAUAUGCUGCUGCAUCCUUCUGACCUGUUGCCCAAACUCCACAGAUUCGGCACCAUCUCCAGGGGGACACAGUGGACACAGAGCCCAAGGAGGCUCCUGGCCAGUCUACUCUGAGGUGUUAUGAUAGGAGUGCUAUUUCAUCUUGGAGUUAGGCAAUUUCAAGAAGCAUUUAUAAAGCCUCACAAAAAGAAAACGAUCUACUUCAGGACUGGAUUCCAUUCUGAUGAGCUCUUCGGAGAGAUAUGGAAGGGAAAAGUAGGACGUUGUGAAAUCAAACCAACAAUUACAAUGUCUUAUAACUCCAACUUGGUUGACAAUUAUUGGUUCAAGUCACACUUUCCACAGGGUCAGUGUCUCAGAAUAGUGUUCUUCAAAGAUUACAUAGCCACUUGUUAAAUAUGCAUAAACCAGAUUUAUUUCCAUCUACCCCAGUAUGUGUGCCCUCCACCCCAAUCAGCUGGCCCUACUCCCUGCUCCUGUCUAUGUCUCUUUCCAUGGCUUUGUUACUUCUGUGUUUUUGUUUUUGCCAGAGAUGCCCUGCCCCUUCUCUAGUCCAGGGACAUCCUGAGAAGCAUUUAAAUCCACCUUGAGGUCCCCUUUCUCACUGUCAGUAUCCUCUCUUUGUUCAUGUGCAAGUUUUGUCUCCCCAAUUACUCAUCAUUGAAGGUGGGCCAGCAGCAACACUUUUUUCCCAGUUUUGUAGCCCCCAGCAGAGGGUAGUGCAGAGGGCAGAGCUCCCGAUCAGUGGAUUUCAAACCUAGUCAGUUUCCAGAAUCACCUGAGCUGCUCUUAAAAAUAUCUACCAAGUCAAAAUCUGGGGAGGGGAGGUCCAAGAAUCAGCUUUUCACAUUUUUUUAAUGUUUAAAUUUUUUUUUUAUGUCGCAGGUGGUUAACUCUGAUGAUAGGUCAAAUUUGAGAAUGACCAAUGAUGUGAAAGGACUCUGUGUCAAGUUUUUGGCAGUUCAGUGAUAGAGCUUCUGAGCCCUUGACUUGGUCUAACAAAACCAAAAAGCUUUCUUCCUAAGAGGUUCUCCGUGAGUCCUGACCACUGGAGUCCAUGAAAACAUUUGGCUGCUAUGAUGCUACACGCAUCGAGAGAUUGGCUUUCUCUUCCCCAGAGAUAUUUAUGUCUUUCCUUACUUUGCAUCACGUCCACCUCCAAACUAAACACCACUGGUCUUACUAGCCAGUUGAUUUUGCAACCAGACGAAUGGGUUUUACUUGGCAACUAUCAUUUUCCAUCUCUCCUGCUAUAAAAGAUGGCUUUUCCUUGGCCAACAUACAGGACAAGUUCUCUUCAGCUUUAGUGCUUAGUAAUGGUUUUGUUCAUGAUGUGCUUGUCCAUUCUCAGAAGGGACGAUCCCAACCACUGUCAUUACCACUUUCACCAUGCUCUUUUAGACAGUGCCCACUUAAAUGUGGUGCUGGGCCAUUCAUCUGUUCAAGUACAGCUCAGGCUGCAGAAUAACCUUUAGACACAUGCAGCCAGCUUUGCUCAGAGGUUUGCCUGCAAUCUUUCUAAUCUGUGGUUUGGACUCUCCUAUAAGCUUCUAACCUUGGGCCUAGGAUAUGCUUUAAUAUGUUGACAUGAAAAUUUUUCUGAAUCUGAAGCCAUCAAAUUUCACUUCUCAUGUGCUAUCCAUUUCUUGUCUUAUAGCUUACCGUAAGGACAUAAUAUCAAUAUUAAUAAAACCGUUUAUUGAGAACCUAAUAUGUGUGAGACAGUGUACUAGGUAGGUUCUGGGACUGCAAAGAUUCAUAAGAUAAGGUCCUUGCUGGAGAGAGGACCACACUCUGAUGAGAAAUACAGGAUUCCAUUCAUAAAAAAGCAAUUUACAAAGCCACACAGCAGAUAUCAAGCCUAAGAUGAAUGGCUCAGGCACUA